GGGAAACGGCCCAAAAGCGGGCCCGAAGUCGCUGAAACCCACUCCGUGGGCUUGCUGGUCGGGGCUGAUCGGGGCUGCUUCGGCAGCUAGGGCGGCAAGGGGAAGCCGGCGGAGGGCAAGGGGAACGCGGGGGAGGUCCGGCGGGGCUGGGCGGUGGCCGGAGGUGGCCGGACGGAGUUGGAACAGGAGCGAACAGCGGCUGGGUCGCGGCUGGAUCGCGCGGCCUGGGCGUGCGCGGACGG
rnacentral:lncRNA from 1 species